CGCAGGUGAGCCACCGCGCGGGGCCCCGAGUGGCCGGGCCCGGAAGUGUCUGCUCCCCGAGCGCGGAGAUGCCCGCCCCUGCGCCUGGACGCGGGCCGCGCGUCUCCUCAGCGCCGCGGGGCUUGAGGAGGAGCGGGCGCCACCUGCGGGGCCGGGGCUCCGGGGCUCCGGGGCUCCGGGGCUCCGGGGCCGGGCGGGCGGAGACGCCCUCCUGAGGGAUCCGAACCGUGACGCCGUGUGGCCCGAGCCGGGGGCGAAGGCGUCGCCGUGAGCUCCUGAGGGCUCGGGUGCCUCGCCAGGGUCUGGGGAGAGGAAGGACGGACGGCAGGAGCCCCGGGAAUCCGUGGCGGGGCUGUGAGUCCCCUGUUGCUGCUUCCUGGGGUCGCCAGAUUGAUUGAUUUGAGAGAGAGAGUGGAGGGGCAGAGGGAGAAGGCGAAGGAGAGAAGCAGACUCCCUAUGGAACAUGGAGUCCCCGCAUCUCCGGGCUGGACUCCGGGCUGGAUCCCAGCACCCUGAGAUCAUGAUGAGAGCCAAAACCAAGAAUCAGUAGCUCAACUGACUGAGCUACUGAGGAGCCCCUUCCUUUUGAUAUUCUUAAUAUUUUCUAUUCUCUAGCUUUAUUGGAAGAAUACAGUAGAUAUUCCAUACAGCAUACAA